CAGCCCUACCAGCCACCAGCUCGGCCGCGUGGGCACCUGUAACAACAGCCAGCACCACCACCCCCCUGCCUCUGGCCUCUUGGCUGUGCAGCUUCCUGGUUCCACACUACAGAGGCACAGGGAGACAUAAAGGCCAUUGUCCUGAGUUGCAGAAGUGAACAACAGAGAGAGGGCCUCUCUUAGGCUCCCUUAUGAAAACUGAAGCCCACUGGAAAAGUGAAGAGAAUCUCUGCAAUAAAGGCACACCAGACCACCGUACUUGGUUCGACAAUCAGGAUUUAGAUGAGGAUGAAAGGAGAAGGGCUGAGACAAAGACAGACCAAAAUUGUGGCUGUUGCAAUUGGCAAUCUUCUAAGCACACCCAAGUUGUCUAAGGAAAAACCCAGGGCCAAUCAAGGCCUGCAAGAAAACUGGACACUGAGCAUAUGCUGUAUGUAGCCACUGCCAAGGCCCUGUUCUGUAUGUCAGAUGGCUGGUGUGCCUGACCACAGCACUGGAAGAUUGUCCCCACUCCUAGACAGGGGCUAUCAAGAUGGUGAAGGCCAGCCUAAACCUUCACCCUCUGCCCUAAUAAAGAGGACUGAAGAGGCCUGGGGUAACCUACAAUGUCCCUGUUCAUGGACAUCUCCAUCUCCCGUGAAAAACCCUGGGUGACCCUGGAUGUCAUAGAUUCAGAGGCUAGCCGCUCUUGUGUCUUGCUGUGUCUGGCCUUGAACUCAUGGGAAUCCUCUUGCCUCAGCCUCCUGAGUGCUGGGAUUACAGGUGUGCACCACCAAGCCUGGCUACCCCUUCUUAAAACAAAAAAGAAAGAAAGAAAGAAAGAAAGAAAGAAAGAAAGAAAGAAAGAAAGAAAGAAAGAAAGAAAGAAAGAAAGAAAG
ensembl:lncRNA